rnacentral:rRNA from 1 species
CCCUUGGGUUAAAUCCACUCGAAUACUGCAGAGAUGUGGUAGUGCCCUUCGGGAGCGAGUGAGAAGGUGCUGCAUGGCUGUCGUCAGCUCGUGUCGUGAGAUGUUGGGUUAAGUCCCGCAACGAGCGCAACCCUUGUCAUUAGUUGGCAUCAGUUUCGGCUGGCCACUCUAACGAGACUGCCGGCGUUAAGCCGGAGGAAGGUGGGGAUGACGUCAAGUCCUCAUGGCCCUUAUGCCCAGGGCUACACACGUGCUACAAUGGCCGGUACAAAGGGCUGCUAACCCGCGAGGGGGAGCCAAUCCCAAAAAACCGGUCUCAGUUCGGAUUGGAGUCUGCAACUCGACUCCAUGAAGUCGGAAUCGCUAGUAAUCCCUGAUCAGCAGGCAGGGGUGAAUACGUUCCCGGGCCUUGUACACACCGCCCGUCACACCAUGGGAGUUAUUUGCUCCAGAAGUGGCCAGAUCAACCGCAAGGGGACUGGUCCCCAAGGAGUGAAUGGUAACUGGGGUGAAGUCGUAACAAGGUAGGCGUAGUGCU